GUGGGCACUUUGAUAACGAUGCCUGUGGCCAGGUUCAAUGACCUGGGGAAUGACCUUCAAUUCUAUCUCCCACUCCUGGCACUCCAGGUUCCCCUUGGGAUUUUACGCCUGUUGCUUUAUGCCUGAAUUAUUCUUCACAUGGACUCCUCAUUGCUUACUCUGCCUGGGUUUUUAUUUUCGUCACCGUUGAAUGGUUCUUUUAGUUUUUAUCCACAAAAGCCUAUGGGCAUACUGUGCUCUUUGCAAAUUCACUGUCUCCCUGGACCUGCCCUUCCAGCACUGGCGUCUCCUUGCUGCCUGGGAGGAGAGGUGGAGAGUUGUCAUCAGGGAGCCAGUGAAGAAUUCUCCAGCAGCUGGAGCAGCACCAGCUA
rnacentral:lncRNA from 1 species